rnacentral:lncRNA from 1 species
AUGGCGGGGGUCCCGAGGGGGCACGAGGCCACCCUCCCAGGUGUGUGAGGGCAGAGGGGACCACAAGCCCAUCCCUUUUCUGAGGGGCCCUCCUGCUGCCACCAUCCCAUGCCCCCACGGGGGCCCCCCGGGGCUGGCUCACAGCCGCAGGCCUCGGGGCCGCUGCUGCUGAUGGAUUGAAGCCGCCCCACAAGCUCAGGAGGUGCAGGGAGAUGGCCUCUGGCUCCCGUGUGGGGCUGCAGGAGCAGGCGGGCUGCAAAGUGCCCGAAGCUAUGGCACUGUGGGAGAGGCCAGUGUGGCUGAGCACCCAUGGGUGCUCCUGGAGGGUGCAUGGCUGGCUGUGGCAGUCUGGCUGCUGCUGCCUCGCCUGGCCUGGUGCCUGGUCACCUUCCCCGCCUACUGCAGCCCCCAGCCAUCCCCACAGAGCUUCUCUUCGGGUGGCGCUUCUCUCCGGACAGUGGGGCCUGACCUGUGGGCAGCUGCUGGCGUCAGCACCCUUGCUCCAGUCGUGGGCCUGGGACACCAGGCUUCUCAUGUGCAGGCGUCUGAGCUGCUCCAGUGAGGAGGGUAGGAUCCAUGGCCCCUUGGUGAAGCCUGAGCGAGACUGGGCGAGAGGCAGGGAGAGAAUAUGUUAUUCCAUCCUUGGGCCACAGAUUUAUGGCAAGGAUGGUGGAUUUCUUUAUUCUCUUUUUGUAAAGGCAACCAUUGUCUUAAGCAUUAUGCACCUUAGUGGGAUAGAGGAUAUCUCUUUGCUAUGCAUUACAUAUUGGAAUAAAUAGAUGAAGGCACAUCAAUGGAAGACUUGCAGAAAAUGAUGGUUGUGGCUCUUAUAUACAGAUUAUUAGUUUGUUUCUAUGAGAUAAUUUGCAUUUGGGGAGCAGGUGGAGCUACCCCAGGGAAGUUCCUGCUGGGGCUUCGAGUUGUGACAUCAGUGCUUAUUGCACUAAGUUGGGUUUUAGUGAUUCCUUCCUCAAAUGUUAGUAUUACAACGUCCACUAUACGAGCUUUGAUCAAGAAUUUUUUGAUUGCUUCUUUUUUCACUGCUUUCAUCACACUGCUGUUUUUUCAGCAUAAUCGAAAAACCUAUGACAUUGUAGCAGGAACCAUUGUGGUAAAAAGAAAUGGGGUCAGAUGA